rnacentral:rRNA from 1 species
AACGCGAAGAACCUUACCUAAGCUUGACAUCCUUUUGACCGAUGCCUAACCGCAUCUUUCCCUUCGGGGACAGAAGUGACAGGUGGUGCAUGGUUGUCGUCAGCUCGUGUCGUGAGAUGUUGGGUUAAGUCCCGCAACGAGCGCAACCCUUGCCUUUAGUUGCCAGCAUUAAGUUGGGCACUCUAGAGGGACUGCCAGGGAUAACCUGGAGGAAGGUGGGGAUGACGUCAAAUCAUCAUGCCCCUUAUGCUUAGGGCUACACACGUGCUACAAUGGGUGGUACAGAGGGCAGCCAAGUCGUGAGGCCGAGCUAAUCCCUUAAAGCCAUUCUCAGUUCGGAUUGUAGGCUGAAACUCGCCUACAUGAAGCUGGAGUUACUAGUAAUCGCAGAUCAGAAUGCUGCGGUGAAUGCGUUCCCGGGCCUGUACACACCG